GAAUAUUGGUCAAUGGACGCAAGUCUGAACCAGCCAUGCCGCGUGAAGGAUGAAGGCCUUCUGGGUUGUAAACUUCUUUUAUCAGGGAAGAAAAUUACGGUUUCUACUGUAACCGACGGUACCUGAGGAAUAAGCACCGGCUAACUCCGUGCCAGCAGCCGCGGUAAUACGGAGGGUGCAAGCGUUAUCCGGAUUCACUGGGUUUAAAGGGUGUGUAGGCGGAUAUUUAAGUCAGUGGUGAAAUCUCCGGGCUCAACCCGGAAACUGCCAUUGAUACUAUUUAUCUUGAAUACUGUUGAGGUAGGCGGAAUAUAGCAUGUAGCGGUGAAAUGCUUAGAUAUGAUAUAGAACACCGAUUGCGAAGGCAGCUUACUAAGCAGUUAUUGACGCUGAGGCACGAAAGCGUGGGGAUCAAACAG
rnacentral:rRNA from 1 species